rnacentral:lncRNA from 1 species
UCGCAGGUCUUUCAACAAGAGGUUCUUGUGCUUCGUUAAAUCCGCAUUUAAGCCCUUGAGCUCGUCUUUCAGACCAUGUAAAAUCUUGUUUUCUUCCUUGAGCUCGGCAACCUCAGCCUCGAGCACCGACACUUUUUCCAUCCCAACAAGUGCACUUUUCUCCUUAGCCUCUACCCUCUCCUUCACAACUCUUCCAGUUAUUGCACUCUGUACAAAAAAAGCAUGUCAAUUAACUAAAAAACACCAUAAAAAACAACGUAAGACACUCACUCAUACCUUUUGCCCGAGGGUAGCAACCAUCUGCGCAAGCUCUCUAUCCCGCAAGUGCUUAACAACUCCCUCAAAUUCUGCAUAAAAGCGAGUGUCAAGACUAAGCCAAAAAAUUGCAUAACUGGAAGGAAAUGUGGAAGUAAAAGGCUUACCCUCAGGAUUAAACCUCUCUUCAACCAGAGUCUCAGCUCCUACACCCUUUCCAACCUCCACAAUAGUCCCAGCCCCACCUUUCACUUUUCCGCCAACUUGACUGGCCUCGACACUACUCCCUGCUACCCCACCUGCGCCACCCUUAGCCCUCUCAGCCUGAACCCCC